GACCGGGAUGAGCUCAAAUUUGAAAUCUGGCGUCUUUCAGGCGUCCGAGUUGUAAUCUAUAGAGGCGUUUUCCGCGCCGGACCGCGUCCAAGUCUCUUGGAAUAGAGUAUCAAAGAGGGUGACAAUCCCGUACUUGACGCGACAACCGGUGCUCUGUGAUACGUUCUCAAUGAGUCGAGUUGUUUGGGAAUGCAGCUCUAAAUGGGUGGUAAAUUCCAUCUAAGGCUAAAUAUUGGCGAGAGACCGAUAGCGAACAAGUACCGUGAGGGAAAGAUGAAAAGCACUUUGGAAAGAGAGUUAAACAGCACGUGAAAUUGUUAAAAGGGAAACGAUUGAAGUCAGUCGUGUGGGAAGUAUUCAGCCGUCUCUGGCGGUGUAUUUGCUUCUCACGGGUCAACAUCAGUUUGAUCCGGUAGAAAAAGGCGGGAAGAAGGUGGCACCCUCGGGUGUGUUAUAGCUUCCUGUCAUAUGUGCCGGACCAGACUGAGGAACGCAGCUUGCAGCAAUGCCGGGGUUCGCCCACGUACAAGCUUAGGAUGUUGACAUAAUGGCUUUAAACGACCCG
rnacentral:rRNA from 1 species